rnacentral:lncRNA from 1 species
UGUUCUCUUCUGUCUGUGUCGUCAACAUUUGAACAUUUUUGAGCGGUCCGCUCUUUCUGACUGUAAACAAAGCCGUUCUCCACCUCCUCUAACCUGAUUGGUUGUGAGGCAGACGCUGCUCCCCCGUGUCGUUCAGGAGCCCAAACAAAGUUAGCGUGCUACAAUAUCGGACAGUAGAAACCAACCAGAAAGUUCGGAAAAUUGUCUGAAUCCUCCUUUGGCCACGACUGCCGACACAAGCAAGAAAACACUCAAACAUAAACAGUCAGCAAGAAAAGAGUCAGCAAGAAAACAGUCAAUACCAAAACAGUCAAUACCAAACCGGUCAACAGGAAAACGGUCAACACCAAAACAGUCAACAAAAAACAGUCAGCAAGAAAACAGUCAACAAGAUAACAGUCAACACCAAACCAGUCAACACCAAAACAGUCAACAAGAAAACAGUCAGCAAGAAAACGUCAACCAUAAUCAGUCAACAAGAAAACAGUCAGCAAGAAAACAGUCAGCAAGAAAACAGUCAACAGGAAAACAGUCAGCAAGAAAACAGUCAACAAGAAAACAGUCAACAAGAAAACAGUCAACAAGAAAACAGUCAACAAGAAAACAGUCAGCAAGAAAACGUCAACCAUAAUCAGUCAACAAGAAAACAGUCAGCAAGAAAACAGUCAACAGGAAAACAGUCAGCAAGAAAACAGUCAACAAGAAAACAGUCAGCAAGAAAACAGUCAACAGGAAAACAGUCAACAAGAAAACAGUCAACAAGAAAACUGUCAGCAAGAAAACAGUCAACAAGAUAACAGUCAACCACAAUCAACAAGAAAACAGUCAGCAAGAAAACGUCAACUAUAAUCAGUCAACAAGAAAACAGUCAGCAAGAAAACAGUCAGCAAGAAAACA